rnacentral:lncRNA from 1 species
GUGGUGGAAUUGGCAGUAGUGUUGACGAGGACACUUUCACAAGGAUGGCGUGGGGAUGGUGGAAAAAAUAUAAAAAGAUUUCGGGGCUGGCUUUUAAUGUCUCUGUCCUGAUAUUUGUGCCGAUUCCGCCACACUAAAGUAUAUAUAUAUUAUAUUUUUUAUUAUUUAAUAUAUAUUUGAUAUUAUUUACUAAUAAUAAAUCUCAUAUAUAUUAGAAAAUAAACAACUAGGGUAGUUUUUUUGAUGAGAAAAAAAAAAGAAAUGGAGAACGGGAACAUGGCAAGAAAAUUCGAUACUCAUAGAGGAUGGGGAUGGGGUGGUCAAUUUAAUCUCCAUAGGGGAUUGGGGAGGGGAAUGCCUAUUAAUAGUGAUGGGAUUGGUUUCAAUUUUUGGAUGAAUUAGUUUGAUCUUCAAAUUUCAAGAACCAUAGAAUUCGAUUCAGUAUAUGGUUUUACUCAAACCCGAACAAUUCAAACUGUGGACAUCCCUAGCAUAUACAUGGACCCAUACACGAUUAUUUCUAAAAUUUUAUUGAUUCCAAGGAAAUUAGAGAUUCUUUCGCAAAGUUAAAGGGUAAAUGAAAGUUUUUCUUUGUUUGUCCGUUUGUUCUUUUCUUCGUAUUUGAAUGUUCUGUAUGUGGAAAUAGCUAGACAUAUCACUAUAAUAGAAAUUACACCAAUGUUCUAUAUGACGCUUUAGGAGUACCUAAUAAUUUCUUCAGUUUCAUGGUCUAACAUAUAAAUCAAACAAGGCAUAAGAAACGACUUAAUCCACAAGUCAUGAGGAAAUGUCUCAUAUUCACAACUACUAGCUUUCAAUGCCACGUCUAUCAUACGCCUAGACCCAAAAUUGUCGGUCUUACAUUGUUCAUUUUUCGCUAAGAGUAAAUUACACUUUGCACCAUCAUAUUUUUAUGAAAAAUUCACUUUGAGCUUUUCAUGUCAAUCAAACCCGUUCAAGAGGAUGAAAGCUGAUGACGACAGGGGGUUGGGAGCAGCAAAGGACUUGGUGGUUUUGGUGGUGUGGCUAUGGCAAUGGAAGGUGGCUAUGAUGGUUUGGAGCUAGGCCACUAGGGUUUUGUAAUGACAAAAUGAUGAAAAUUUGAAGAAAAAAUGAAGAGGGUGCAAAAAGAAGCGCCCUCAGUGGUGGAUUUUAGUUCUGACUUGGCUGGACACAUGGCGCUUUUGUGGCAUUUUUCGUCAUGAAAUCGGACAAUCGUUCAUAAUGGGGUUGAUUGCAACGAUUUAACAAGCCAAGGGGCAAUUUGAGAAAAUUCUUAAUUUGCAGGGGCACAGUGGGAAUUGGUCAAUAUUUUAAGGGGACAAAGCGUAAUUAAACCUUGCAAAAAUGGAUAAUGGUUCAAGCUUAACUACUCCAGCACCCCAAGCAUCUAAAGCUGAAAUAACUUUUGCAGUUAUUGUUUGUUGUUUCUCCUCUAUUGAGCUUUCCCUAAUCAAACUGGAAAAAAUGGUAAUGGGCAAAGAAGAGAAUUUGUGUUGGGCUUUUCUUGUUCUCUUGAUUACCAAUCUCCUACCGACCUUCAACCUUGUUCUUUUCGAUAUCUAAAAAUGAUGUAAUUUUUUUUAACUCAAGAAAGAUAUUUGGGGGAAAUUACAAAAAAAAAACUCAGGAUUUGACCAUGUGAAUCAAUUGACCCUACAGUUUUAAUUGUAACAAAUCAAAUGUGUAGUUUUAAUUUGGUACUAAUUUAAAUCAUCUGUUAGUCUUCAUGUACUUAGGGCUAGAAGAACUAAGUGGUUCUAAAGCAAAACGCAAAGGCUAUCCUUUUUAAAGCUAAUUGAACUAAUUAACAAUGCAAAUUAGAGAGUUUGGGUGUUUUAUUUUUAUUAAAGAGAUCAAAUUUGUAUUAUAAUUUUAUGCCAUUAAGACUUUAAAAAUAGAGAAACCCCCUGUACUUGAUGCUGAUGGUGGUUUCUUUCAGCCUAAAAAGAGAAAAUUUUGCGGAUAGAGAAAAAAGAAAAAAACCAUAAAAAAAGAGUAAAUGAAAGUUUUUCUUUGUUUGUUUUGUUUGUUCUUUCUUGAGAUUUGAACGUUGUGUGUGGAAAGAGCUAGACAUAUAACUAUCAUAGAAACUACACCUUGUUUCAUGGACCGAAUCCGUAGUGAGUGUAUGAAUAAUUUUAUUCGACUAAUGGUAAAAAAAAUAUUAAUAAAAUAUUAUCCAAGUAUUACAUAAUCCAUGUCUUGUGAGAUGGAUGAUUAAACGAAUAUCUAAUUUUUCCAUCAAUAGUUACGUUCAAACGUUAAAUAUACAUUUAUUCAGUGCUUUCGGAGUACCAUGUGGUACUUACGCGUGUAACUCUCACCUAAUCACGUAGUGACAAAUUUUGCGGAUGGAAUACCAUGGCUCACAUCAUUUGAAUAGUUGGAAGAUAAGAGGUUGACCCAUAAUAUAUUUGUAUUUAUUAUUCAUUGCAGUGAAUACCAAACAAUAUCACAUGGCGCUUCGGGAAUACCUAAUAAUUUCUCCAUUUUCAUGGUCCAAUAUGUAAAUCAAACACGGCUCAAGAGAUGACUUGAUCGAGGAGUCGUGAGGAAAUGUCUCAUGUUCACACUUUCAAUGGAACGUUUAUCAUACGCCUAGACCUAAAAUUGUCGGUCUUGCAUUGUUCAUUUUCCACUAAGAGUAAAUUACACUUUGCACUAUUAUAUUUUUAUGAAAAAUUCACUUUGGGCUUUCAUGUCAUAAAUCCAAUUUUAGGCUAAUUAUUAAUGUGAUCUUGCUAUUCUUCCUCUAUAGUAAUAGAUAUUUUAUUUAUUAUAUUUUAUAUUAUUUAAUAUAUAUUUUAUAUUGUUUACUAAUAAUAAAUCUCAGACAAUCGUGCAUUUGUGGGGUUGAUUGCAACGAUUUAACAAGUCAAUGGGCAAUUUGAGAAAUAGUUUAAUUUGAGGGAGCAUAGUGGGAAUUGGUCAAUAUUUUAAGGGAACAAAGCGUAAUUAACCCUUGUAAAAAUGGAUAAUGGUUCCAGCUUAGCUGCUCCAGAACCACAAGCAUCUAAAGCUGAAAUAAUUUUUGCAGAUUGGAAAAAUGGCAAUGUGCAAAGGAGAGAAUUUGUGUUGGGCUUUUCUUGUUCUUUUGAUUACCACUCUCCUAUUUGCUAAUUCGUUUCUACUGAUUCAUGCCCGAUCUCCUAAUUAUUAUCCAGUUGCCAAUCUUUCCACUUUAUGGAUCAACAACGACUCCGUUUACAUAUACAAUCAGUCUAAUUACCUGCAACCCAUCCUUGUUAGAAGACAUUUUUUUUGUGGCUUCUGGUGUGACGGAAGUAGAGGUGCCUGCCUUUUUGCCAUCGUCCUAUCCGCAGAUACUAACAGAGCAUACCCAAAACUCGUUUGGUCUGCUAACCGGGACAGUCCAGUUCGACAAAGCGCAACCUUACGGUUCACACAAAAUGGAGAUUUGAUCUUGAAAAAUGACGAUGGCAGCUUUGUCUGGUCUACAAACACAGGAGGGAAGUCUGUUUCUGAAUUAAAUUUGACUGAAGAGGGAAAUCUCGUG